rnacentral:RNase_P_RNA from 1 species
ACUACCAGCCGCGCCAUCGAUCCCAUGGCAACAUGGGGUAGGAAAGUCCGGACAGCGCAGGACGAUGCACCGGUUAAGCGCCGGGUCCCGUUUCGGCGGGAACAGAGAGUGCCACAGAAAAUAACUGUCCCGAAGCGAAGUUCUGCUUCAGGAUGAGGGUGAAAACGUAGGGUAAGAGCCUACGAUGCCGUGCAGUAAUGUACGGGAUGGGUAAACCUUGCAUGCUGUAAUGCCACGUAAAUCUCCGGGUCCCGAUCAUUGAUCGGGGCGGUAAGCGGUCCGUUUACUACAACACGGUUGUACAGAGAAGGGUAGGCAGCAAGAUCACGGCAGUAAUGCCGGGGCCAGAUAAAUGAUGGUGUUGAAACAGAAUCCGGCUUAUGAGCUGGUAGUUAUU